rnacentral:rRNA from 1 species
CCUACGGGGGGCAGCAGUGGGGAAUAUUGGACAAUGGGGGCAACCCUGAUCCAGCCAUGCCGCGUGUGUGAAGAAGGCCCUCGGGUUGUAAAGCACUUUCAGUGAGGAAGAACGCCUGGUGGUUAAUACCCAUCAGGAAAGACAUCACUCACAGAAGAAGCACCGGCUAACUCCGUGCCAGCAGCCGCGGUAACACGGAGGGUGCGAGCGUUAAUCGGAAUUACUGGGCGUAAAGCGCGCGUAGGUGGCUUGAUAAGCCGGUUGUGAAAGCCCCGGGCUCAACCUGGGAACGGCAUCCGGAACUGUCAAGCUAGAGUGCAGGAGAGGAAGGUAGAAUUCCCGGUGUAGCGGUGAAAUGCGUAGAGAUCGGGAGGAAUACCAGUGGCGAAGGCGGCCUUCUGGACUGACACUGACACUGAGGUGCGAAAGCGUGGGUAGCAAACAGGAUUAGAUACCCGAGUAGUC